rnacentral:rRNA from 1 species
GAGUUUGAUCAUGGCUCAGAUUGAACGCUGGCGGCAGGCCUAACACAUGCAAGUCGAACGGUAACAGGAAACAGCUUGCUGUUUCGCUGACGAGUGGCGGACGGGUGAGUAAUGUCUGGGAAACUGCCUGAUGGAGGGGGAUAACUACUGGAAACGGUAGCUAAUACCGCAUAACGUCGCAAGACCAAAGAGGGGGACCCUCGGGCCUCUUGCCAUCGGAUGUGCCCAGAUGGGAUUAGCUUGUUGGUGGGGUAACGGCUCACCAAGGCGACGAUCCCUAGCUGGUCUGAGAGGAUGACCAGCCACACUGGAACUGAGACACGGUCCAGACUCCUACGGGAGGCAGCAGUGGGGAAUAUUGCACAAUGGGCGCAAGCCUGAUGCAGCCAUGCCGCGUGUAUGAAGAAGGCCUUCGGGUUGUAAAGUACUUUCAGCGGGGAGGAAGGGAGUAAAGUUAAUACCUUUGCUCAUUGACGUUACCCGCAGAAGAAGCACCGGCUAACUCCGUGCCAGCGCCGCGGUAAUACGGAGGGUGCAAGCGUUAAUCGGAAUUACUGGGCGUAAAGCGCACGCAGGCGGUUUGUUAAGUCAGAUGUGAAAUCCCCGGGCUCAACCCGGGAACUGCAUCUGAUACUGGCAAGCUUGAGUCUCGUAGAGGGGGGUAGAAUUCCAGGUGUAGCGGUGAAAUGCGUAGAGAUCUGGAGGAAUACCGGUGGCGAAGGCGGCCCCCUGGACGAAGACUGACGCUCAGGUGCGAAAGCGUGGGGAGCAAACAGGAUUAGAUACCCUGGUAGUCCACGCCGUAAACGAUGUCGACUUGGAGGUUGUGCCCUUGAGGCGUGGCUUCCGGAGCUAACGCGUUAAGUCGACCGCCUGGGGAGUACGGCCGCAAGGUUAAAACUCAAAUGAAUUGACGGGGGCCCGCACAAGCGGUGGAGCAUGUGGUUUAAUUCGAUGCAACGCGAAGAACCUUACCUGGUCUUGACAUCCACGGAAGUUUUCAGAGAUGAGAAUGUGCCUUCGGGAACCGUGAGACAGGUGCUGCAUGGCUGUCGUCAGCUCGUGUUGUGAAAUGUUGGGUUAAGUCCCGCAACGAGCGCAACCCUUAUCCUUUGUUGCCAGCGGUCCGGCCGGGAACUCAAAGGAGACUGCCAGUGAUGAACUGGAGGAAGGUGGGGAUGACGUCAAGUCAUCAUGGCCCUUACGACCAGGGCUACACACGUGCUACAAUGGCGCAUACAAAGAGAAGCGACCUCGCGAGAGCAAGCGGACCUCAUAAAGUGCGUCGUAGUCCGGAUUGGAGUCUGCAACUCGACUCCAUGAAGUCGGAAUCGCUAGUAAUCGUGGAUCAGAAUGCCACGGUGAAUACGUUCCCGGGCCUUGUACACACCGCCCGUCACACCAUGGGAGUGGGUUGCAAAAGAAGUAGGUAGCUUAACCUUCGGGAGGGCGCUUACCACUUUGUGAUUCAUGACUGGGGUGAAGUC